GGCACACGCACGCGUGCGGAAACGGCAAACGGCAGAUUUGAUACUCAUUUCUAGUUCACCCAUAAGUUGAGCUACGAAUAUCGGAUUAAGGCGGAUGAGAUGCCAAAUCGAAGCUUAAAGGAUGAACAACAACUGUUAUGAAGACAUCCAGAACUGAAACUGGAGGCUUUAGUCCCAAAUGAACCAAACACAAUCACUUACGAAAUCUGGCCAAUGCACAAAUGGUCAGUUUUGAGUACGAACUGUUUUCUAUGCUACGCAUGGUCAAAAGAGCUGAAAAUUGGCAGUUAGAUAGUUCAUUCCAAAUGGAACAACUUUCAUGAAGGUCGGCAAUCCAAAUUCGGAACGGAAAUUGGUCAUCAGGACCAAAACAGAUUUCUGGUCAUUUUCACGGGCAGGCCUUGUUUGUUCGGCUA
rnacentral:lncRNA from 1 species